rnacentral:rRNA from 1 species
CCGGUGAAUACGUUCCCGGGCCUUGUACACACCGCCCGUCAAGCCAUGGAAGUUGGGAGUACCUGAAGUCCCCCGAGCAAUCGGAGCCUAGGGUAAAAACCAAUGACUGGGGCU